GUGAUUUUAUAAUACAUAUUAUAAAAAUACAUCUAAGCAAGUCAUUUAUGACUUUUGAACCGGAAGUCGAAACUCGGAAAUCCUUCCCCCUCCAAUUCUUGUCAGGUGUGUCGAUCGGGCUGCAGACUUCGUAGUCUGGCAAAAAGAGCUGGUUCAGUUGUGUGUAGUUCGUGUACUAAGUCGUGCAGGAAUUAGGUCAGUACCGGCGAUUCUGAGUGGCUUCGGUGAAGCCGAGAAAGAGUUCAUUCCUUUUGGUCGGUCAAGAGACGAUGAAAAUCAAAUUGGCGGCUGCGCUGGUAACGAAAGUAGCAUUUACGGACUUUUGAUCAGCGAGAUCGACAGUAGCGGUGCCAGGAUUUUUUGCUAAGUAGAGCAAACGGAAGCCAACAAUUUUAAGAAAUGACUUGCGAAUAUAUACCCGAUCCUAGAGGCAAAAGACAUAUAUGGCAUGAACCUAAAGUAAUAAAACAAGCUAUGUUCCCUAUCCAAAAGGGUAACUCGAUUAGGUCAGUUUCCAAAACUACUGGCAUACCCUACAGUGUACUGCAAUGCUACUAUAAAAAAUACAAGACUAACAAUAAUGUGGUAGUAAACAAAAUUGGUGGUCAAACUACUCUUCCUGUGAGUAUGGAGCUAACGUUAGUAGCCAACAUAAUUAAAAUGUGCUGAUUGGAGUUAUCAAAACUAGAACUAAGAAUGUUUGUUAAAUAUCACUUAGGUCAAAUUGGCUGUACAAUAAAGUGCUUUAAAAAUAAUUAUCCUGGUAUAGAUUAGCCCGCCAUACACGAUGGGAUUUUUUGACGGAUUUGGCUCUCGAAGGAUCAAGUCCGCUGGUAAAUCCGCUCAUGUGUGGUGAUCACUGGAUGAAAUCCGUUUGGUAUACAAAAUCCGACGGAACAAGCCCUACAGAUCGAAUCUUUGAUCGGCCACUAAUUGACAAGGAUCGGAUUCUACAGAAUAAAUAUUGAUAAAUGAAUUCUCACGUUAUCACCUAUUUUUCUUAUCCACAAUAUUAUCAAAUAUUCAAAUUUCUAACUGUAAUCUCAGAAGCUGCUGACGAUUAAACGGCAAAAAAGUUAUAAUUUGAGAUAAUCUUAGUUCACAUUUAUAAUCUGAAGUUAUACAAUUAAGUGAAAAACAUUCUGUUGACUUAAUUUUUCUGCUACCAAAUUCAACACAUUUUAAGGCAGCUCCUUGAUGUUGUCUUUUUUCGGUGAUUGAAAGGAGCAUGAAGAAAUGUUCUUAAAAAUUAGAAAACAUGUAGUAGAAAUGGAUUUGAAAAAACUGGAAUAUACCCACUAAACAAAAAGAAAGUUUUAAAUAUGUUGCUACCAGAUACUGAAAAUGAUAGUUCAUCAAUAAAUGACACUUCUUUAGUGUCAGAAAUUUUAGCUACAUUUUUGAAAAAAUCAAAGAAUGGAACACCUGACUCAACUAAAAAACAUAGGAAGAAAAGAUUAAAGGUUCAACUAGGAAAAAGCAUAAAAGGGAUGACCCAGGAUAAGUGAACUUUGAUGAAGCUGAUAAACCAGUGGACAUUGAAAUGAUAAUCAAUGAAGCCAAAGAUAAACAAAGGCCAAACUCAAAUUUAAUUAAUGUAGGCCAAAUGUCUAGUAUUAUAAAAAAUAAUAUCAAAGAAGGCUUAUGGGUCGUCGUAAGUAUGGCGAAACUAAGAAAUUAUAUUUUGUUAAAAUCAUACAAAUAUUACAAAAGGGUGAACUUUAUGAAGGGUCAUUUACCAGAUCCAGUAACUUCUCAAGUAGCUACAAUAAUGAAACCGAAGAACCUAUAUAUAUAUUUUCAGAUAUCAUUGACUUCUACACAUUUAAGCUGUAUGAUAUUGUUAUGAUAGUUCCUCAACCAACACAACCAAAGAGUCUGCACAGGGGUCGAAUGCAAUUUACUGUGAAACUAAGUGAUAUUCAAAACAGUGUAUAAUACAUAGUAAAAAGUUAAAUUUUAUUGUUACCUAGAUGAAGGUGCUUAUUUAGUAUUAUUUAAAAAUGUCAUAAUCUACCUAAAGUGAAUUUAAAGACUGAUUUGUUAUAUUACAUAUCU